UGGGGAAUAUUGCACAAUGGGCGCAAGCCUGAUGCAGCCAUGCCGCGUGUAUGAAGAAGGCCUUCGGGUUGUAAAGUACUUUCAGCGGGGAGGAAGGGAGUAAAGUUAAUACCUUUGCUCAUUGACGUUACCCGCAGAAGAAGCACCGGCUAACUCCGUGCCAGCAGCCGCGGUAAUACGGAGGGUGCAAGCGUUAAUCGGAAUUACUGGGCGUAAAGCGCACGCAGGCGGUUUGUUAAGUCAGAUGUGAAAUACCCGGGCUCAACCUGGGAACUGAAUCUGAUAAUGGCAAGGUUGAGUCUCGUAGAGGGGGGUAGAAUUCCAGGUGUAGCGGUGAAAUGCGUAGAGAUCUGGAGGAAUACCGGUGGCGAAGGCGGGCCCCUGGACGAAGACUGACGCUCAGGUGCGAAAGCGUGGGGAGCAAACAGG
rnacentral:rRNA from 1 species